rnacentral:rRNA from 1 species
CCUACGGGGCGCACCAGUGGGGAAUAUUGCACAAUGGGCGCAAGCCUGAUGCAGCCAUGCCGCGUGUAUGAAGAAGGCCUUAGGGUUGUAAGGUACUCUCAGUUGGGAGGAAGGCGUUGAUGCUAAUAUCAUCAGCGAUUGACGUUACCAACAGAAGAAGCACCGGCUAACUCCGUGCCAGCAGCCGCGGUAAUACGGAGGGUGCAAGCGUUAAUCGGGAUUACUGGGCGUAAAGCGCACGCAGGCGGUUGAUUAAGUUAGAUGUGAAAUCCCCGGGCUUAACCUGGGAAUGGCAUCUAAGACUGGUCAGCUAGAGUCUUGUAGAGGGGGGUAGAAUUCCAUGUGUAGCGGUGAAAUGCGUAGAGAUGUGGAGGAAUACCGGUGGCGAAGGCAGCCCCCUGGACAAAGACUGACGCUCAGGUGCGAGAGCGUGGGGAGCAAGCAGGAUUAGAUACCCCCGUAGUC